GUAGCUUUUAAAUUAAAAAAAAAUUAUUAUGUAUCCUUCCACUGAGAAAAAGUAGUCCUGAGGACUGUUUCAUUUCGAUAUAUUUUUUUACUUUUUUUUUUAUUUGCCAAAAACGUUAAAUUGAUCAUUUCCAUUUAUUGUAAAAUGUUCUAGAUGAAAUGGCAUUUUUGAAUUGAAGGCAAACUGAUUUCCUGCAUCAGAGGGAGGAUUCACGGAACAGCCAGCCACUGCACUAUCUCUUGGGGCCAAUGUCGAGGGAAGAGCUUCUGAACAUGAGGCCGUGGAUGGAGGAGCCAUAUGGUUUUCAAGAGAAGCUGACCAAUAAUUCGGAGGUUGCUUUCAAUACCGAUGAACGGUAACCGACAUCAUUUCUCUGGACUGUAAACCUGCAUUAGACAACAAGUGGACAGCAGUGCUGCAGAUUGAGUGGAUUGCAUAACAUAUUGAAAGUCCAACUUGAUCUGAAAUGGGAGACAUCAUGUUUCCAAGUUUCUCAUCAUCAAUCUGAGACUAAAGCAGUGAGAUUCUUGAAAUGGAUUUUGGGAACAGGGAUUACUUCUUGAAAGAGGACCAGAAGAACAAAGAUGGCCACUUGGCAUCAGCAUGGAAAAGACCAGCCUGUGAGUGAGGGCAGGAUUACAGGGUUGACCCCUCAGGCUCACCCACUCAGAGAAGAAAACGCUCCACACAAACAAAACAGGUGGCAGAUAUCAACAACUUCUGAGCUGUUCUUAUCAUUAUGGGCUCUCUGCUGAUUUGUUGAUUUUUGAUGUUUUUAACAGAAAUUGUAUUUUGCUGUAUGAAUGGUCUAUUAAGCUACCUUCAUUAUUUGUUUUUAAUGUUCUCAAUAAUAUGCAGCAUUGAAACAACAAGCGGAAAGUAUCUAUCGAAAGUCUCACAUGAUAGUACAGUACAACCAUUUUUAUUUAUAAAUACCCUGUGAGAAUUCAACUUAGUUUCUUCACAAACAUUGAUGGAAUUUCACGGAUGUCCCACUACUCACCUAGAUCACUCCUGAGCUUGAGUAUUCGUUCAAGAGCAGAUGGAGAUAUUGGGGAGUUAGGAAAUGAAAAGACAUUGAAGACAACUGAUAGAUAUAUUUUGAAGAAGACACCUGAUACAUAUAUUUUGUCUGUUGGACUGAGUUUUAUGAGGUAUUUUUUGUUGGGUUUUUUGUUUUUUUUUUAGAUCGACAAUAAAAAAUAUUUUGUUGAUGUAUAAACUGCAAUCUAAUUUUUCAUACUUAAUUGUAACUAUACAGAACACCACUUAACAAUUCUAGUCUUCACAAAAUAUAUUGACAUUUUUGCCCAAAAAUGAAAACAACUGUUCAAAUAAAAAUGUUAAAUAAACUUGCAAAAACAGAUAUUUCAUUAAUACCAAAAAGACCACUACUUAAACUACAAUACCUGAUGAUCAAAAUAGAUAGUUGACAAAGCUUUGGUCAAUUAAUGUUCACCUCUUCUUUUACUUAAAUGAAUACUUAAUACAAUCGUUCAGUAUAUUUUAUUUUGUGUACAUGUAAUCCUAGUAUUCUCCAAUGUUACUUUGUUUCUACUUUGAUCAUAAUUUACCAGUCUAACUAAUUCCCUUUUUCAAUCAUGGGACUUGUGAAAAGACUCCUAAAAGCUGAAUUUCUGGAGCUGGGUAGUUUUAUGAUCACUAGGGGUGUGUAACAAAUAUGUGCCCUCCUGCAGCUGUGAGAUAGUAAAUGGAAAAUACCUGUGCAAAACCAGCUCACUUUAAAGAGUUCUUAGAAGUCUAUUGAGAAGCAGGCCCAAUUGUGAAAAAGGAUAUUUUCACCAGAAUAGUUAGUAAGCCUGGUAAAUGGUGAUCUAAGCUAAAAUAACAAUAGAGAAUGACAUCUACAUACAUAAGAAAUUAAAUAUUAUGAAAAUGUAAAUGAUAUCCUUUCAAGUAUUUUUUCGAAUGCCUGUAUAAGGUAACUAUUGACUGUAAUGUUUAUAUAAUCCAAUUGCUUUCUAUUUUUAUAAAGUAACUAUCUGAAUCAUCUGUUUUGCUUGAUUAAAGACUUUGUUUCAGUAUGUUUUUUCACCCCCCCUCCCCCCAAGUACAGUUUUAGGUUUAAAAACAUAUUUUUCUUCUUGUUCUUAAUUAUGUGGGGUGGGGAUUGUAAAUAAAAUGCUAGAACAAAAAGUCAGGUUAUAAGGAAUAAACUAACUUUCUAAAGUGCAAUUGGGGGAGCUAGCAUGAAAGUGAUCUCUAUGGGCAGCCAAUGUUAUUUUAAGAAACAGCUCGAAGAAAUGCUUCUUU